rnacentral:rRNA from 1 species
ACUUACGGCCAUACCAUCCUGAAUACCCCCGAUCUCGUCUGAUCUUGGAAGCUAAGCAGGGUCGGGCCUGUUUAGUACUUGGAUGGGAGACCGCCUGGGAAUACCAGGUGCUGUAAUUG